rnacentral:lncRNA from 1 species
CCAGCAGCAGCCAUGUGAGAUCAGACCCAAGAGAGAACAUCUUCCACAGUGCCAGCUCAGCGCCCUACAUCUCCAGGUGCCUGCUAUCUCUUGCCAUAGGAGAUUCUUCAUGGAACUGCUAUGAGGCACAUCUCACUAAGAUGCUCUGCAGGAGAAGAGAGGGAAGAGUUGAUGGCUCUGAAAGGUAUGGUCUUCUCAGUGGAACUGCAGAACAGAGCAAAGCCUGACUAAAGUCAAAAUCCUGGGCAGCCCCAUGAGGGGACAUCUUUGUAGCAGGAGGUGGAACGAAAGGAC